GUCCCGCUAGCGCAAUGGAUAGCGCAUUGGACUUCUAAUCCAAAAGUCGUGGAUUCGAAUUCCAUCUGGGAUA
rnacentral:tRNA from 1 species